rnacentral:sRNA from 1 species
AAAAUAAAUUUCCAAUAUAAAAAUGAGAAAAAAUGCGAUACACUCUAUUUAUAAAGAUCAAGAAUGUAGCCUAUAGUCGAUUUUACGAUUUCCCUAAAGAAAGACAGACAGACCUUGAAUUCUAUAUUGAUGUUGAGCGGUCCUAUAAUUAUAAUCGAGGCUGUAAUAUUGCUGUCUUUCCUGUUGAACGAAGCUAAACAAAUGUAUAAACGAAUUUUGUUGUUCAAAGAGGGCCUGGAGAACUGAAUGUCAGUCUGUUUUACAUAUCAAAUCUCAUAUUAGACAGCAUAUCAACAAACCUACAGCUCCAAAAAAAUCUCGACAGAAAAUAAUUCGUACCGUACCAAAAUACUAAGAAAAAACGAAUACACGCAAUAUUUCAUGUAAAUAUUCGCUGAGAUGAUAUGCUGGAAAUAGUU